ensembl:lncRNA
ACAGCACUGAUAGGCAAGCACCCAGCAGUAUGGACCAGCUUACUUUAAAUUACACGGUAAGAAUAUUUACCCAAUACCCAUCUGCAGGUGCUCUGCAUUCUUCUUAGACCACUUGCAUACUUUUGGACUGGUAUGACCUUUCUUUUCUGUUAGGAGAUGUGCAACAUGGAGUCCAGCACAGAUUCUGACUCCGAAAUCAGUCCAAGAUGGUCCGACACCAGUACCAUGGGAUGUGUGAGCAGUGCACCAGAGAGUGGGGCCUCAAGGAGGGUGUUGCCAUUAACGCUUAAGCCUGCAGAAAGGCAUGGCUGUUAUUCUUUGGAUUUGGACCCGUACGAUGGGAGCUCUGAGGAUUCUGACAAGUCAAAUGUCAACGUCUUCAGCAGGCAAUCGAGGCAGCAGGGAAAAGGUGGAGGAAAAGGAGGAUGUCGACUCUUGGGCCGAAGCAGGCGAUAUAUCUUUAAUCACUCUGCUUCUGUUGCUCUCAGAGAAGGAGCGAAAAAUGACAAGAGAGACUGUCUGAGAGAGCAGCCGAAUCUUCUGGAUGUCCAGAUGAAAUGUGGAAGUGACUCUGACCGGUGGGUCUGCGAACUGGACACUCUUCCCUCUAACAAUGACAGGGAUGCUUGUAAAAAUCUUCCAGAAGAAAGGGUAACUGAUUCAAUAACACACAGACAAACCUCGGAUAUGGAGUUGCAGCUUGAUGAUUCAGGCUUGGAUAUUACAAGAUCCUCCACACUUCACCCACCUAACCCUCAAAGCUCAGUGGAGGGGAGUUCAUCUCACAAGCUGGGUUGCUCCUCUGAGAGAUCUCCGUGGUUGUGUAACCUUGGAUCUCUUUACAAGAGAAAACUGAGUCUCCCUGGAACAGACAUGAUUGAGUUGGGACACAGGAAGAAGCAGUGUGUCUUCAACAUGGAGGAUGAGCAAGAAGGAAACGAUUCUGCAUCUGAACCAUGUUAG